CACUGGUUUUUGAAUAUCCUGCCUGGUUUUUGGAAUAUCUCUUUUACUGAAUCAUCUACCGCUGUGCAUACUGGGAGAGUUACAAAGGAUGUUUCCCAGGGAUGACCAAAAAAAGUCUCAGUGUAACCCCAGCAAUGGACCUACUAGAAUACUGUGAACUGGAAUGGAAAGGAAUGACACCUCAUGCUGAUCAAAUAAGGAAGGCCUAUGGAGAAAUCUACAGGGUACAUAAUAUCAGGUACAUUUCGUGGAGAC